rnacentral:rRNA from 1 species
AGGACGAACGCUGGCGGCGUGCUUAACACAUGCAAGUCGAGCGGUAAGGCCUUUCGGGGUACACGAGCGGCGAACGGGUGAGUAACACGUGGGCGACCUGCCCUCAGCUCUGGGAUAAGCCUGGGAAACUGGGUCUAAUACCGGAUAUGACCACAUGUCGCAUGGUGUGUGGUGGAAAGUUCGUUCUUAAUUGGGCGCUUCGGCUGGGGAUGGGCCCGCGGCCUACCAGCUUGUUGGGGGGUGA